GUUUAUAUAUUUUUCUUCCUUUUUUUAAAACAAAAAUUACGAGCAAUCAAAAAUGAAAUUCAUGAUAAGAUUUAUUCUUUAUCUGAUUAAUAUCAUAGCCUUAAUAUCGUGUCAAAUGGUACCCAUGGAAAUGCAACUUAGACCUAAUUUAAUAUGCAAUUUACCGAAAGCCCCAGGACCUUGUAGAGCUCAUUUCACUAGAUGGUAUUACAACAGAAAUACGCGAAAAUGCAUGCGAUUUAUUUAUGGUGGUUGUCAAGGAAAUGCAAAUAAUUUUAAAACCUUAAUGGAUUGUAGGAGAAGAUGUCAUAGAUCAAUUCACUAAAGAACAAAUGUAAAACU